rnacentral:rRNA from 1 species
UACGUAGGGGGCGAGCGUUAUCCGGAUUCAUUGGGCGUAAAGCGCGCGUAGGCGGCCUGGCAGGCCGGGGGUCAAAUGCGGGGGCUCAACCCCCGCCCGCCCCCGGAACCUCCGGGCUUGGGUCCGGUAGGGGAGGGUGGAACACCCGGUGUAGCGGUGGAAUACGCAGAUAUCGGGUGGAACACCGGUGGCGAAGGCGGCCCUCGGGGCCGUGACCGACGCUGAGGCGCGAAAGCUGGGGGAGCGAACAGGAUUAGAUACCCUGGUAGUCCCAGCCGUAAACGAUGGACGCUAGGUGUGGGGGGACGAUCCCUCCGUGCCGAAGCCAACGCAUUAAGCGUCCCGCCUGGGGAGUACGGCCGCAAGGCUAAA